GCAGGCGGUUUCUUAAGUCUGAUGUGAAAGCCCCCGGCUCAACCGGGGAGGGUCAUUGGAAACUGGGAGACUUGAGUGCAGAAGAGGAGAGUGGAAUUCCAUGUGUAGCGGUGAAAUGCGUAGAUAUAUGGAGGAACACCAGUGGCGAAGGCGGCUCUCUGGUCUGUAACUGACGCUGAGGCUCGAAAGCGUGGGGAGCGAACAGGAUUAGAUACCCUGGUAGUCCACGCCGUAAACGAUGAGUGCUAAGUGUUGGAGGGUUUCCGCCCUUCAGUGCUGCAGCAAACGCAUUAAGCACUCCGCCUGGGGAGUACGACCGCAAGGUUGAAACUCAAAGGAAUUGACGGGGGCCCGCACAAGCGGUGGAGCAUGUGGUUUAAUUCGAAGCAACGCGAAGAACCUUACCAGGUCUUGACAUCCUUUGACCACUCUAGAGAUAGAGCUUCCCCUUCGGGGGCAAAGUGACAGGUGGUGCAUGGUUGUCGUCAGCUCGUGUCGUGAGAUGUUGGGUUAAGUCCCGCAACGAGCGCAACCCUUAUUGUUAGUUGCCAUCAUUUAGUUGGGCACUCUAGCGAGACUGCCGGUGACAAACCGGAGGAAGGUGGGGAUGACGUCAAAUCAUCAUGCCCCUUAUGACCUGGGCUACACACGUGCUACAAUGGGAAGUACAACGAGUUGCGAAGUCGCGAGGCUAAGCUAAUCUCUUAAAGCUUCUCUCAGUUCGGAUUGUAGGCUGCAACUCGCCUACAUGAAGCCGGAAU
rnacentral:rRNA from 1 species